AGGCAGUAAUCGGGAAUUCUGCGCUAAGGGUGGAAAGCCUGAUGCAGCAAUCUCCGGUGUAGAGCGCGAAGGCUUCGGGUUGGCAAAGGUCUUGUUGAUGUGGAUGAUGGGCGAAGGAUAUACAGCGCGUAGCUGUGCGGUACCCUUGGAAGAAGCCCGGCUAACUAGGUGCCAGCAGCCGCGGUACUACGUAGGGGGCGAGCGUGUCCGGAAUUAGUGGGCGUAGAGAGCGUGUAGGCGGUGCGGGAAGUCUACUGUGAAACGUGGGGCUCAACCCCGGGGGUGCGGUGGAUACUGCCGGGCUAGAGGAUGGUAGAGGCGAGUAGAAUUCCCGGUGUAGCGGGGAAAUGCGCAGAUAUCGGGAGGAACACCAGUAGCGAAGACGGCUCGCUGGUCCAUUCCUGACGCUGAGACGCGAAAGCUAGGGGGAGCGAACAGGAUUAGAUACCCUGGUAGUCUUAGCCGUAAACGAUGAACACUAGGUGUGGGGGGAGUCGAAUCCCUCUGUGCCGAAGCCAACGCGUUAAGUGUUCCGCCUGGGGAGUACGGCCGCAAGGCUAAAACUCAAAAGAAUUGACGGGGGCCCGCACAAGCAGCGGAGCAUGUUCUUUAAUUCGAUGCAACGCGAAGAACCUUACCUGGGCUUGACAUGGUGCUGCAAGCGCACGGAAACGUGUGACCUUCGAGGGUGCACCACAGAUGCUGCAUGGCUGUCGUCAGUUCGUGUCGUGAGAUGUUGGGUUAAGUCCCGCAACGAGCGCAACCCCCGUGGCGUGUUGCCAGCAUUAAGUUGGGGACUCACGCCAGACUGCCGGUGACAGACCGGAGGAAGGUGGGGAUGACGUCAAGUCAUCAUGGCUCUUACGCCCAGGGCUAGAAACGUGCUACAAUGGCGCAUACAAAGGGCAGCAAGACCGCAAGGUGGAGCGAAUCUCAUCAAAAUGCGUCUAAGUUCGGAUCGGGGUCUGCAACUCGACCCCGUGAAGGCGGAGUUGCUAGUAAUCGCGGAUCAGCAUGCCGCGGUGAAUACGUUCCCGGG
rnacentral:rRNA from 1 species